GGGCCUCAAAUCAGACAAGAGUACCCGCUGAACUUAA
rnacentral:rRNA from 2 species